AAAUUGAAGAGUUUGAUCAUGGCUCAGAUUGAACGCUGGCGGCAGGCCUAACACAUGCAAGUCGAGCGGAAACGACACUAACAAUCCUUCGGGUGCGUUAAUGGGCGUCGAGCGGCGGACGGGUGAGUAAUGCCUAGGAAAUUGCCUUGAUGUGGGGGAUAACCAUUGGAAACGAUGGCUAAUACCGCAUAAUGCCUACGGGCCAAAGAGGGGGACCUUCGGGCCUCUCGCGUCAAGAUAUGCCUAGGUGGGAUUAGCUAGUUGGUGAGGUAAUGGCUCACCAAGGCGACGAUCCCUAGCUGGUCUGAGAGGAUGAUCAGCCACACUGGAACUGAGACACGGUCCAGACUCCUACGGGAGGCAGCAGUGGGGAAUAUUGCACAAUGGGCGAAAGCCUGAUGCAGCCAUGCCGCGUGUAUGAAGAAGGCCUUCGGGUUGUAAAGUACUUUCAGUUGUGAGGAAGGGUGUGUAGUUAAUAGCUGC
rnacentral:rRNA from 1 species